UCGAGCCGUAUGAAGGGAAACUCUCACGUACAGUUUUUUUUGGGGGGGCCGGCAGGGUCCCCCCACUUACUUGGCCCGGGCCUAAGUGAAAGUUAAGUGGUGGGCCUACCCAUCCCAAC
rnacentral:ncRNA from 1 species